CACCCUGAACGGUGGAUCACUUGGCUCGUGGGUCGAUGAAGAACGCAGCUAAUUGCGCGUCGACAUGUGAACUGCAGGAUACAUGAACAUUGACAUUUCGAAACGCACAUUGCGGUCCUCGGAUACUGUUCCCGGACCACCUCUGGCUGAGAGUCG